UACGAGAGGCCCAAACGUUAUUCGGAAUCACUGGGCUUAAAGAGUUCGUAGGCGGCGCGGAAAGUGGGGUGUGAAAGCCCUCGGCUCAACCGAGGAACUGCGCUCCAAACUGCCGUGCUCGAGGAGGAUAGAGGUAAGCGGAACUGAUGGUGGAGCGGUGAAAUGCGUUGAUAUCAUCAGGAACACCGGAGGCGAAGGCGGCUUACUGGGUCCUUUCUGACGCUGAGGAACGAAAGCUAGGGGAGCAAACGGGAUUAGAAACCCCUGUAGUCC
rnacentral:rRNA from 1 species